rnacentral:lncRNA from 1 species
AGAGCUGGGCGGGUUAAGGAGGAGGAUGGCGCCGUCCUGCAGAUGUGCGGGGACGCGCGCCCGCCGCAACGUGAGGCUCAUAGGCCACACGCAACUCUGAGCAUUGGCCAGGACCUGUAGUAGCCAACAGGACACUUAAUAACUGAUGUAUAGGUGCGCACUGUGUGUCCAGAGCUUUACGUUAACCACCUCACUGUGUCAUCUCGCUGAGGUUGUGUGGUUUACUAUUACUGCUAUUAGCGCAUUUUUAAGCGGGAAACCUGAGGCAUGAGGAGGUAAGGAGCUUUGAGGAGGGUUGCACGGGUGUUAAGUAGCGCGGUCAGCACCUGAUCCCCGUCACUCAUCAGUACGGCGGUUGGAGGGGAAUGCCUGCUGGAGGGGACCACGAACUAAACUCAAUCGCCCCCACAGGGUGUGCUCGCCGUGGUUCCUAUAAAGCUGUAAGGGAGGCUACACAGCGUGCAGCGUUGUUGCUGAGGGAUCGCACACUUCCCGUAGAUUUUGUUGCUAGUUCUGGUGCACUAACGUGGAUGGACUGCUUGCUGUCUGUAGGGCCUGCCCACGGUCAGCGCUACAGAAUUCAGGCCCGGCGUAGCUACUUCCAACCCUUCAGAUCUUCACUUCCUGUUGGAACUGUCCUCUAGACUGUAGCCUCUGCCAGAAAUAAUUCAUUUUGAAUACCCUUGUAACACCCAAUUCCUUGAUCUCCUAUCAUUCCCCUGGCAGGGUCAGUCCUCGACCUUGUCCCCCCAAAUUGCUUCGUCUCUGAAUCCAGACUCUGAAGUUCGGCUCUGCCUACCACCUUAAGUUAUCCGAUGUGGCCUUACCGUCAGCCUAGUCUUUGACUACAGGAAGACCUCUCUUCCUGAAGAAGACGCCUCUUUUCAUCCAUUCACUCUGGAAAUGAUUCAACGUCUGCCUGCUGCUGAUGCUUUACUCUCCACCAGGGGUUUUCGAAGUGUGCUUCCCCAUUCCCCCUGGGCCUAUAGCAUCAGCAUCAGGGAACUUGUCAGUAACGCACAUUCUUGGGCCCCAACCCAGAACUACUGAAUCAGAAACUUGGGGUGAGGGCCUGUCGUGGUGGCUCAUGCCUGUAAUCCCAACACUUUGGGAAGCAGAGGAGGGUGGAUCACCUGAGGUCAGGAGUUGAGGACCAGCCUGGCUAACAUGGUGAAACCCCGUCUCUACUAAAAAUAGAAAAAUUAGCCAGAUGUGGUGGCGUGUGCCCAUAAUCCUAGCUACUCGGGAGACUGAGGCAGGAGACUCGCUUGAACCCAAGAGGCGGAGGUUGCAGUGAGCCAAGAUUGCACCACUGCACUCUAGCCUGGGCGACAGAGUGAGACUCCGUCUCAAAAAAAAAAAAAGAACUCAGGGUGAGGCCCAGCCGGCUGUGGUUUUAUGAGCUUUUCAGGGGAUACUGAUGCGGGAUCAAAUUUGAGAAGCACUGGUCUAGGUCUUAGAUCCUCUUGCUUCAGUUUCGUCAUUGGAUCUCAGGAAUGUUCAGCUGCCCUCUCAAGGCAACUUCUUACUUCACUUGACCUUCCAAGACCUCUCGUUCUGUCAAACCCCAAUUUUGGAUCAACCCAGGCAUGCUUCCCUCAUGUGUUCCAAAGCUGGUCAGAGUAGUCUACACCACUAUCUGCUUCAACUUCUAGUAACGUCUAAGCCUUCAGCAGUUUUGCUUAUGAAACUGCUUCACUGAAGUUCUCCACCACCAAGUAGUCAGCUGGCAUCGGAAUUCGGCUUGUGUCAAAUGGAACUCAACAUCUUCCUCUUCAGGACAUCCCCUAUUUUCAUCCUCCCAGUGAAUGACACCACCAAGUUAAAGCCUGGAGGCUGGGUGUAGUGGUUCAUGCCUGUAAUCCCAGUAGUUUAGGAAACCGAGGUGGGCAGAUGGCUUGCGCCCAGGUGUUUGAGAGCAGCCUGGCCAACAUGGCGAAACCCUGUCUCUACAAAAAAGUACUGCCAGGCGCGGUGGCUUACGCCUGUAAUCCCAGCACUUUGGGAGGCUAAGCAGGCAGAUCACCUCAGGUCAGGAGUUCAAGACCAGGCUGGGCCAACAUGGCAAAACCCCAUCUCUACUAAAAAUACAAAAAUUAGCCUGGUGUGGUGGCAUGUGUCUAGUCCCAGCUACUCGAGAGGCUGAGGCAGGGGAACUGCUUGAACCCAGGAGGCGGGGGUUGCACUGAACCUGUUGCGCCACUGCAUUCCAGCCUGGGUGGCAGAGCAAGACUCUUAUCUCAAAAACAACCAAACACAAAACAAAAAUUAGCUGGGUCUGGUGACAUGUGCUUAUAGUCCCAGCUACUUGGGGGGCUGAGGCAGGAGGAUUGCUUGAGCCUGGGAGGUUGAGGCUGCAGCAAUGAGCUGUGUUUGUGCCACUGCACUCUAGCCUGGACAACAAAAUGAGACCUUGUCUCAAAAAGAAAAAAAAAAAGCAGGGUGCAGUGGCUGACGCCUGUAAUCCCAGCACUUUGGGAGGCCGAGGCGGGCGGAUCAGAAGGUCAGGAGAUCGAGACCAUCCUGGCUAACAAGGUGAAACCCUAUCUUUACUAAAAAUACAAAAACUUAGUCGGGUGUGGUGGCACGCACCUGUAGUACCAACUACUCAGGAGGCUUAGGCUGGAGAAUCGCUUGAACCCAGGAGGUGGAGGUUGCAGUGAGCCGAGAUUGCGCCACUGCACUCCAGCCUGCCAGCCUGGGCAACAGAGCGAGAUUCUGUCUCAAAAAACAAAAACAAAAAAACCCAGAAUAACUCACCCCAAACUUCCAGGUUUUUUUUUUUUUUGAGACGGAGUCUUGCUGUCGCCCAGGCUGGAGUGCAGUGGUUAGAUCUCAGCUCACUGCAACCUCCGCUUCCUGGGUUCAAGUGAUUCUUCUGUCUCAGCCUCCUGAGUAGCUGGGAUUACAGGUGUGCGCCACCAUGCCUGGCUAAAUUUUGUAUUUUUAGUAGAGAUAGGGUUUCACCAUGUUGGUCAGGCUGGUCUCAAACUCCUGACCUCAGGUGAUCCACCCGCCUCGGCCUCCCAAAGUGCCAGGAUUACAGGCGUAAAACUCCCAUGCUGGGCUGGUCAAAGUGCUGGGAUUACAGGCAUAAGACAACGCACCUGGAACUUGGCUUGUGUCAAAUGGAACUCAACAUCUUCCCUUUUACUAAACCCCACCCAACAUUCACUGCGCACAAGUUGUCUUAUUCACUGGACUUCUAAUAUGUUUAAGGGGUCUGUCCCCAUUUAUUUUUUGAAACGGGGUCUUUCUGUGUUGCCCAGGCUGGAGUGCAGUGGUUGUUCACAGGUGCCAACCUACUAUUGAUCAGCAUGGGAGCUUUGGGGUUUUAAAACAAAUUUUUUAAGCCAGUCAUAUUUAGCAGUGGGGGGUUGUAUACCAACUUUAGUGACACUAAUGUUAUUAAAUUCUAAUAACCCACUACCAUCAGACCAGCCCAGCUUGGGAGUUUUGACCUGCUCCAUUUCCGACCUGGGCUGUUUCACCCCUCCAUAGACAACCUGGAUAGUCCCCUGUCCUGGGAGGUCACCAUGUUGAAGCUGAACUUAGUGUGGACACCCAAACUGCAUAAUGCAUUACAGUCUAGAACUCCUGGGCUCAAGGGAUCCUCCCACCUCAGCCUCCUGAGUAGCUAGGACCACAGGGUGCACCACCGCGCCCAGCUGUCUUCCUUUUUUUUUCUGAGACCGAGCCUCACUCAGCUGUCCAAGCUAGAGUGCAGUGGUGUGAUCUCCAUUCACUGCAACCACUGUCUCCCUGGUUCAAGCGAUUCUCCUGUCUCAGCCUCCUGAGUAGCUGGGAUUACAGGAACCUACCAUCAUGCCCGGCUAAUUUUUGUAUUUUAGUAGAGAUGGGGUUUUACUAUGUUGGCCAAGCUAGUCUUGAACUCCCGACCUCAGGUGAUCUGCCCACCUUGGCCUCCCAAAGUGCUAGGAUUAUAGGCAUGAGCCACCACGCCCAGCCCCCUACCCUUAAAAAAAUUAUAUAUAUAUAUAAUAGAGACAGGGUUGCGCUAUGUUGCCCAGGCUGGUCUUGAACUCCUGGGCUCAAGGGAUCCUCCUGCCUUGGCCUCAAAAGUGCUGGAAUUACAGGCAUGGGCCACUGCACCCAGCCUAUCUUACAUUUUUUUUAAACUCAGAGCAUACCUCAUUUCAAUUUUCCUCCUCUCUUGCUUGGGUUCAUGUAAAAUCUUUCUAACUGGUUUCCAAGUGUCUGCUCUAUUAUGCUCCGUAUAUCCUCCAUACUCUAGUCUGCUCCUACGAACUUCAGCAUCUUCGGCCCCUCUGCCUGGAAUUUACAUCUUUCCAAUCCUGCCUCACAAAUUUUCUAUUAUAUAAGGCUCCGAAAUAUGAACUAGAAGUAAUUUCCGUGAAGCUGAUGACUUUAUCUGGCAUAUGGUAAGCUCUGAAUCAAUGUUUAUUGAAAGAAUGAAAUGUCACCCCUUUGUGAAGCCUUCCAGAGUUGUCCCUGAAGAAUUAAUUUCUCAACUCCAAGGUCCUUUGCUCAUCCUGUCAUCAUUUUUGUCUAGUAGUCAGUUGAAAACCAAUAAUUGAAAAGCUUGGCCGGACACGGUGGCUCAUGCCUGUAAUCCCAGCACUCUGGGAGGCCGAGGCAGGCGGAUCACAAGGUCAGGAAAUCAAGACCAUCCUGGCUAACACGGUGAAACCCCGUCUCUACUAAAAAUGCAAAAAAUUAGCCAGGCAUGGUGGUGGGCACCUGUAGUCCCAGCUACUCAGGAGGUGAGGCAAGAGAAUGGGGUGAACCCAGGAGGCGGAGUUUGCAGUGAGCCGAGAUCGCGCCACUGCAUUCCAGCCUGGAUGACACAGCGAGACUCUGUCUCUAAAAAAAAAAAAAAAAAAAAGGCUCCUCAAGUGCAGGGAUUGUGUUCUAUUCAUGCCCGACUCUUAAUUAACAGAUGGCGGCUCUCUAUGUACACUUGUCAAAUUAAGUAGAAAACAUCAAAACCCAGGCACCCUGAGGUUAAGAUGCCCUUUAGUGGUGGGAGUUAGUGCAUGGAAGGAGCCCAGGAAGCAUGCAGCUAACAGCCUGCUAAUUAGUAGUAUCAAGCUACCAAAUGGGCUCAUGGGUAGCUUUCCUUAAAAAUUGUAAAAAAAUGGGCCGGGCAUGGUGGCUCACGCCUGUAAUCCCAGCACUUUGGGAGGCCAAGGCGGGUGGAUCACGAGGUCCAGAGUUUGAGACCAGCCUGACCAACAUGGUGAAACCGUGUCUCUACUAAAAAUACAAAAAUUAGCCAGGCAUGCUGGCGCACACCUGUAAUCCCAGCUACUCAGGAAGCUGACGCAAGAGAAUCGCUUGAACCCAGAGGCAGAGGUUGCAAUGAGCUGAGAUUGCACCAUUGCACUCCGGCCUGAGUGACAGAGCGGGACUUCAUCUCAAAAAAAAAAAUUGUACAAAAUUUCCUUUAUUAAAAAUUGUAGCUCCCUCUCUCUCUCCCUCUCCCCCUCCCCCUCCCUCUCCACGGUCUCCCUCUGAUGCCACCAAAGUUAUGAAGGCCGAGGCUGGACUGUACUGCCGCCAUCUCGGCUCACUGCAACCUCCCUGCCUGAUUCUCCUGCCUCAGCCUGCAGAGUGCCUGGGAUUGCAGGCGCGUGCCGCCACGCCUGACUGGUUUUUGCAUUUUUUGGUGGAGACAGGGUUUCGCCGUGUUGACCGGGCUGGUCUCCAGCUCCUGACCGCGAGUGAUCUGCCUGCCUCGGCCCCCCGAGAUGCCGGGAUUGCAGACGGAGUCUCGCUCACUCAGUGCUCAAUGUUGCCCAGGCUGGAGUGCAGUGACGUGAUCUCGGCUCGCUACAACCUCCACCUCCCAGCCGCCUGCCUUGGCCUCCCAAAGUGCCGAGAUUGCAACCUCUGCCCGGCCGCCACCCCGUCUGGGAAGUGAGGAGCGUCUCUGCCUGGCCGCCCAUCGUCUGGGAUGUGAGGAGCCCCUCUGCCCGGCUGCCCAGUCUGGGAAGUGAGGAGCGCCUCUUCCCGGCCGCCAUCCCGUCUAGGAAGUGAGGAGCGUCUCUGCCUGGCUGCCCAUUGUCUGAGAUGUGGGGAUUGCCUCUGCCCCACUGCCCCGUCUGGGAUGUGAGGAGCGCCUCUGCCCGGCCGCGACCCUGUCUAGGAACUGAGGAGUGUCUCUGCCCGAUCGCCACCCAGUCUGCGAGGUGAGGAGCGUCUCUGCCCGGCCGCCCCGUCUGAGAAGUGAGGAGCCCCUCCGCCCGGCAGCCACCCCGUCUGGGAAGUGAGGAGCUCCUCCGCCCGGCAGCCGCCCCGUCUGGGAAGUGAGGAGCCCCUCCGCCCGGCAGCCGCCCCGUCCGGGAAGUGAGGAGCGUCUCCGCCCGGCAGCCACCCUGUCCGGGAGGUGGGGGGCAGCCCCCGCCUGGCCAGCCGCCCCGUCCGGGAGGGAGGUGGGGGGCGCCUCUGCCCGGCCGCCUCGUCUGGGAAGUGAGGAGCCCCUCUGCCCGGCUGCCACCCCGUCUGGGAGGUGUACCCGACAGCUCAUUGGGAACGGGCCAUGAUGAUGAUGGCGGUUUUGUUGAAUAGAAAAGGGGGAAAUGUGGGGAAAAGAGAGAGAUCAGAUUGUUACUGUGUCUGUGUAGAAAGAAGUAGACAUGGGAGACUCCAUUUUGUUCUGUACUAAGAAAAAUUCUUCUGCCUUGGGAUGCUGUUAAUCUAUAACCUUACCCCCAACCCCGUGCUCUCUGAAACAUGUGCUGUAUCCACUCAGGGUUAAAUGGAUUAAGGGCGGUGCAAGAUGUGCUUUGUUAAACAGAUGCUUGAAGGCAGCAUGGUCAUUAAGAGUCAUCACCACUCCCUAAUUUCAAGUACCCAGGGACACAAACACGGUGGAAGGCCGCAGGGUCCUCUGCCUAGGAAAACCAGAGAUGCUUGUUCACAUGUUUAUCUGCUGACCUUCCCUCCACUAUUGUCCUAUGACCCUGCCAAAUCCCCCUCUCCGAGAAACACCCAAGAAUGAUCAAUAAAUACUAAAAGAACAAAAAAAAAAAAACAAACACAAAACAAAAAAACCCAAAACAACAACAACAACAACAAAAAUUGUAGCCCAGGUGCGGUAGUUCAUGCCUGUAAUCCCAGCACUUUGGGAGGCCAAGGUAGGUGAAUCACUUGAGAUCAGGAGUUCGAAACCAGCCUAGCCAACAUGUGGCCAACAUAGCGAAACCUGGUCUCUACUAAAAAUACAAAAAGCCAGGUGUGUUGGUGCUCACCUGUAGUCCCAGCUACUCAGGAGGUUGAGGCACGAGAAUCACUUGAAACCAGGAGGCUGAGGUUGCAGUGAGCUGAGAUCAUGCCACCGCACUCAAGCCUGGGUGACAGAGCUAGACUGUCUCAAAAAACAAACAGACAAACAAAAACUAUAGGCUGGACACGGUAGCUCAUGCCUGUAAUCCCAACGGGCAGAUUGCUUGAGCUCAGGAGUUUGAGACCAGCCUGGGCAACAUGGCAAAACCUCUUCUCUACUAAAAAUAUAAAAAAUUAGCCAGGCAGGAUUGUGUGUGUCUGUGGUCCCAGCUACCAGGGAGGCUGAGAUAGGACGAUUACUUGAGCCCAGGAGGCAGAGGUUGCAGUGAGCUGAGAUCUUACCACUGCAUUCCAGCAAGACUCAGUCUCAAAAAAAAAAAAGAAAAAAAAAAAAAGAAAAAUUGUAAAAAGCAAUUUCUUGUAAAAAACAAAAACUGUACAGAGGCUACAAACAAUUGCCCCAUUUAUGUUGCCUACCCAGUCCUCAAAGAUGGCCAUUGCUCUUUGACACCUAUAUUGAUCAAGAUGUUUUCUCUGUUUAGACUUCAUAUAUAUGUGAACAUAAUUUCUGCCAUAUUUGGAGUAAUUUUGAACACACUGUUCUCCUACUCUUUUUUAAUUCCUCAAAUUGUAUUUUGGUUAUCUUUUUUUUUCCUUUUGAGAUGGAGUUUCACUCUUGUUGCCCAGGCUGGAGUGCAAUGGUGCCAUCUCAGCUCACAACAACCUCCGCCUCCCGGGUUUGAGCGAUUCUCCUGCCUCAGCCUCCCGAGUAGCUGGGAUUACAGCUAUGCACCACCACGCCUGGCUAAUUUUGUAUUUUUAAUAGAAGCAGGGUUUCUCCAUGUUGGUCAGGCGGGUCUCGAACUCUCGAACUCAAGUGAUCCACCCGCCUCGGCCUCCCAAAGUGCUGGGAUUGCAGGCGUGAGUCACCGUGCCUGGCCUUGUGGAUAUCUUUCUAUGUCAGUACAUAGAACUUGAUAUUAAGUGCUAUCUAUAUACUGAUGACUCUCAGUGUAUUUACAUUUUCAGCUCAGACUUCUCUUCUGAACUCUAGACUUAUAAAUAUCUACUUGACAUUGACAUAACCACCCUGAUGUCUCACAGAUUCCUUUUUUUUUUUUUUUUGAGAUGGAGUUUUGCUCUUGUUGCCUAGGCUGGAGUGCAAUGGCGUGAGCUCAGCUCACCACAACCUCCGCCUCCUGGGUUCAAGCUCAAGCAAUUCUCCUGCCUCAGCCUCCCAAGUAGCUGGGAUUACAGGCAUGUGCCACCACACCCAGCUAAUUUUGUAUUUUUUUUUUUUUUUUUAGUAGAGACGGGGUUUCUCCGU